rnacentral:rRNA from 1 species
CAUCUUUAGUUGCCAGCAGGUUAAGCUGGGCACUCUAGAGAAACUGCCCGUGAUAAGCGGGAGGAAGGUGUGGACGACGUCAAGUCCUCAUGGCCCUUACGGGUUGGGCUACACACGUGCUACAAUGGCAGUGACAAUGGGUUAAUCCCAAAAAGCUGUCUCAGUUUGGAUUGGGGUCUGCAACUCGACCCCAUGAAGUCGGAAUCGCUAGUAAUCGCGUAACAGCAUGUCGCGGUGAAUACGUUC